GAUUUUUGGAUACAUAUCAUCAGUACUGAGCCAGAGGACUGCCAUGAGAGUACAGCCUGUUAUUUGAAGAAUCCUGACUGUACAUCAGGUACAGUAGAGAGUGCAAAGCCUUGAGAUCAUGAAGCCAGAAAGCAAGCACUGCUAUUAGAGCUCCUGCCCAGACAGAGGCAGAUUUGGUGCAAGAGGGAAGGAGGUACAGGCCCAGAAGGAGCAGCGUAGCCAGAUACUACACAAGAUUCCACCUCACACUGAUCUGCCAAUGUAUUCAUUCCUCAUCUACUACUCAUCGGAUGCCCUAGACUGCUUCUGGGCAGAAGCAUCCAAGUAAGCUGAAAUGUACAUAACAAACAACACCCAACACAAAUGGAGUGCGGGGAAUCUCUGUGCUCAGGUUUUGCUACCUGUGCCUCAAUAAGACAAAGCCCAACACAAAAACUUCCUGGCUACCUGAGGUUUAAGCACAAGCCAUAGAGGGUGCUCUGCAUCUUACAGUGCAGUUCUCCUUUGAUAUGGGGGUGGGUAUGAACAGCACCUUCCCUCCUCCAUUUAUUCCUUGCAUGUGUUCAUGGUCACACCUGACAAUUUGAGCUGGGCAACAUUUGUUUUUCAUCACUAAAAUGAUUCAAGUAUCAAUUCCAUUUGAGCUGAAAUAAUGGGGAGAAAAGCUCUGAAGUAAUUGAACCAUUUUAUUUUGACAUUUUGAAAUUGAAAUGUCUGCUUUCAGAAGCAUCGAAAUAUGUUGUAAAUAUUAUUUAAAUGAUAAUUUCAACAUAAGGUUUUUCAUUUUAAAGCAGUCCUUGGGGUAAGACAAUCAACAAGAGGGUCAAGCAACUCAAACAUGGAACUAGUUUUAUUUUGGAUCAAAGAAAAUGAUUGGGUUGAUCCAAAACUAAUUUCUUUCCAUUUUGCUGAAAAUGUUCAGUUCAGUCCAAAAUGAUGUGCUACCCCUGUUCAGCCACUGAACAAAAAUAUCCAUCAUUCACCCAGCUCUACUGCUGACUUUAGUAUUGAAUAUAAGAAAUCAAGAGAAGCGAAGAGUGAUGGCCUUGCAGAGCUAAGAAAGGAGAAGCUGGAUUCUCUUCUGCUUUGGGUUUAAGGAUUCUAUUAAUGAGGCUCCAAUUACAGAGCCUAACUGCUUUUGUUGCACCUGUGUAAGUUCACAGACCACAGAGCUGCCUCGGUGAAAUGAGGGCAGAAUUAGGCCCUAGAGAAACUUCAUUAAUGGCCCUGAUGGGUGAGGAGGAGAGAGCCAGUGUGAGUUUACACAGCUAACAACCAGUGCAGGAGCAGAAGCAAAUUUACUCUGGAAAACGUUGACACAAACAGAGCUCCAGGGACACUGCUCUUAUUCUUAGUCAGUGUUUUCUAGGCAGAACUACAUUUGAAGCUCCAAAGCAGUUUAAUGAAACAACCUGGAAGUAUUUUGGGUUGCCAUAGGUUGAAGGAAACCAACUUCAGAGCUGCAAAGAAGGCACAGAGGGAAAUCCCAGCUCUUGGGGCAAGGGAGGAAGCACAUAAAGUAAACUGGAGAAAAAGUAGCAGUCACAGCUGCUGUUACUACCAAGGCCGGGACACCCCUCGUAGCUGCUCCACGGACCAGAGCACAAAAGCAGGAAGCUCAAGCCACAUGUCAAGACCCUUUCUAAAGGCUGUAAAAAGUCAGCUGCACGGAACUCAAGUCUGUAAAGUGGGAUUGACAUGCCUGGGGCAGAAGUGUUACUCAACAAGAAUCCCACACAUACCAACAAGGAUCAACUAAAGAGGGCCUCUUGGGAGUCUGCCCACCCUCGGGUGCACGGUCGGCCCCAGGCGCUUCGGGGAUGUGAUUAACCGACACGUGUCUUCGCGCGAGGGCCGCUGAAGUGGUUCCAGCGAGGACCGCACAGAAGCACGAGGAGGAAAAAUGAUCUUGGCGAGAACGAUCGCGCAUCGAUUCAGUUUGGAUGGAACGACAGCACAAACGCAACGCCUGCUUUUCGGUUCAGAACGGCAGACUUUAGUGAACGGAGGGGAGCAGUCAGUUCACGUACACCGUGGAGCGCAGGGACUUGAGUGCGGGGAGGCCUGGGGUUUCCUGAGAAAAACUAUGUGGAAUUCGCAUCUCCAGAUGAGGUUAAAAAAAACAAACCUUGUAGGGAAGUUGGCUACAAGUAACGGAAAAGGGGAUCGAUCAGUUAAGUAAGCUAUGUUUUGGAGGUCAGAAAGUCUAGGGAUAGAAUAAGCAUUGUCACAAGUCCAGCCGAGUUAGAUUUUGUAAACGAAAUUAAGAUUUUUCAGCCAGGUGAAUAAAGCGAACAAGGAAAGAAGUGCAGCUCGUAGGCAGUGAAGCUGAGGCAGAGAUUCAGCAAAGCUAACUUAGGUAUGGCUCACCACUGAACCAUUACGUCGUCUCAUUUUUCAGUGAGGACAAUGAUGUUGGCCAAGGGGGCAAAGGCAGGGUGACUGGUGGGAAUAAGGGUAUAGGGAUAGAGUAGACUAGAAAUUACCACAUCUGGUAUGGAAGUAAAGCUCUAAGUUUAACACAUUCAAGUCAGGGGGACUGGAUUAUUUCUGUCUUGGGUUAUGGAAGGAGUGGGCACGUGGAAUCACAAAUCUUGUAACAGGGAUUGUUAAUAACUCCAUCCAAUGGGUAAUGUGCUAUAGCAAAAGUAUUGCCGGUAUAUAAGAAAAGGAAAAUAAAUGGUCUGAACAACUAGAGGCUCACAGGCCUGAAAGCUUUAAAUACAUUUUGAGGGAACUAGUAAUUAGACAUAAAUAGAAAGUGGGAUAUAAUGCAACAUUGGCAUAUCAGAGGUGUAUCUUGAUAGACUAACCUGGUAUCUUUGAUAAAACAUCUUAUUUUCCAAACAAGGGAAAAUGGUAGAUCUUAUCUAUCUGGACUUCAGUAAAGCUUCUGAUGUGGUGCCAGAUGAGAAACUAUGAGCUAAACUGAAGAAAAAGUAGAUUAGUAGAAGUGUAAGAGUGGGUAAGAAACCAACGAAAAAAGCAACUACAACAGGUUAACUUCAGUGAGCAAUCCCUUCAAGAUCGCUUCUAAAAACAAACUUACUAAAUAUUUUCAUUAGCUAUCUUGGCACACAAACCAAGAGUGUGCCAAUGAAAUAUGUCAGCGGUACAAAGUUGAAGAGCAUAAUUAAAACAGGAGGAUCCGAAUAUCACGUAGGAAGAGCUGGAUGAUUACGUUUUAAGGACUGGGCAACACAUGGGAUUAAAUUCAGUAGUACAAAGUACAAAUAACAGGCAUUUAGGGACUUAUAGUGAGAAUUUCAGUUUUAAGAUGUGGGCUUAUCAGUUGGAAAGACAGAGGGACAGAGACUUGGGAGUGUGUGUCUAUUAAAGGAUGACUAUACACCAAGUGUGUGAUUCAGCUGUGAAACAGCAAAUUCAAUUCUAGGAUGUAUCAGGUGACUUAUUUCAGUAGAGACACAUUCAUGGAAUAGCAUCCAGCUUGUAGGAUGAAGGGAAAAUUAACUCAACUUUAAAAGUGUUGGAAAAGGUCAGUGCAACACUUUAGCACUGGCAAUUAGUCUUAUGUGUCACAUAAGUCUUGUACUGCUCUGCUGACCAGUAGGAAAUGGAUUUUAUAGCAUAACUGGUAGGGGAUUGUGUAUUUAAAGGUGAUAUUUUAAUAGGUGCACAAGGGGUAGAGUUAAGGUGACAAACAACAUUUACUUGUGGAUUCCCAGAGUAAUUAAAGAUUUAGUUUGCAAUUUUGGUAUUAUUUUUAGUUAAAUUAAUUUUGCUUAUAAGAACUUAAAAAUAUAUAUUAUUUUGUCCCUGGUACAACUUUGUUGAAACAGGUAGAUUGACUAGUCUUGCAUUUUGUCCUAGUAUGUUCAGGCAAUAGAUUCAAUAACUUUCAUUCUAUUUGGAUGUCAUAUUUUAUGUUGUUAUUAUAACUGGUAAUUUUCUAUUUAUGAUAAACAUGACACUAGCUAUUUGUUAAUUGAAAUAUGUCUGGAGAUGGACUAGCUGAGCUAAAUGGAAGCUGUUUAAUCUCUGAUUUUUGUGAUUCUCUCUGAAAGGCCCAUUUUUCAGUUAGAAUGAAAAAGAACAGAAGCAUUAAACUUAUCAUUAUUUAUAAAAUGUACCCAUGCUAAACUUGCAUUUAUAUAACAAAAUCAGCAUAGGUAAAUUAAAUAGUAAUCAUAUGAAUAUAUUAUUUUUUUAAAACAACUUUCA